rnacentral:rRNA from 1 species
CGGAAUCUGCCUAUUUGUGGGGGAUAACGUAGGGAAACUUACGCUAAUACCGCAUACGACCUACGGGUGCAAGCGGAGGACCUUCGGGCUUCGCGCAGAUAGAUGAGCCGAUGUCGGAUUAGCUAGUUGGCGGGGUAAAGGCCCACCAAGGCGACGAUCCGUAGCUGGUCUGAGAGGAUGAUCAGCCACACUGGAACUGAGACACGGUCCAGACUCCUACGGGAGGCAGCAGUGGGGAAUAUUGGACAAUGGGCGCAAGCCUGAUCCAGCCAUGCCGCGUGGGUGAAGAAGGCCUUCGGGUUGUAAAGCCCUUUUGUUGGGAAAGGAAAGCAGUCGGUUAAUACCCGAUUGUUCUGACGGUACCCAAAGAAUAAGCACCGGCUAACUUCGUGCCAGCAGCCGCGGUAAUACGAAGGGUGCAAGCGUUACUCGGAAUUACUGGGCGUAAAGCGUGCGUAGGUGGUUUGUUAAGUCUGAUGUGAAAGCCCUGGGCUCAACCUGGGAAUUGCAUUGGAUACUGGCAGGCUAGAGUGCGGUAGAGGGUAGUGGAAUUCCCGGU